GAUGAACGCUGGCGGCGUGCCUAAUACAUGCAAGUCGAGCGAACAGACGAGGAGCUUGCUCCUCUGACGUUAGCGGCGGACGGGUGAGUAACACGUGGAUAACCUACCUAUAAGACUGGGAUAACUUCGGGAAACCGGAGCUAAUACCGGAUAAUAUAUUGAACCGCAUGGUUCAAUAGUGAAAGACGGUUUUGCUGUCACUUAUAGAUGGAUCCGCGCCGCAUUAGCUAGUUGGUAAGGUAACGGCUUACCAAGGCAACGAUGCGUAGCCGACCUGAGAGGGGGAUCGGCCACACUGGAACUGAGACACGGUCCAGACUCCUACGGGAGGCAGCAGUAGGGAAUCUUCCGCAAUGGGCGAAAGCCUGACGGAGCAACGCCGCGUGAGUGAUGAAGGUCUUCGGAUCGUAAAACCCUGUUAUUAGGGAAGAACAAAUGUGUAAGUAACUAUGCACGUCUUGACGGUACCUAAUCAGAAAGCCACGGCUAACUACGUG
rnacentral:rRNA from 1 species